UUUUUUCCAGCUGCUGUGGUGCUGGCUGAAGCUGCUGGCCACCACAUGCUGUGACUGCCACCUCCAACAUGACAGUGUGGGGGAUCAGCUACAGCUGAUGGGCUGAGCCUGUAAACAAACUGUGCCACAGCACCUGCCAGCCCCAAGAUGGUUCCUGGUGUCCAUGUGGAUUGCUGCAGCACAGAAAGCUUUGCCAUGGCAGAAGCACCACGGAAAGUACAGGUUUUCAAGUGCAGAGACAAAGGAUCUGGGGACUACAGUGUUUCUAAACCUGCAAAAACUCAGAGGAGGAGAACAUAUCCAAGAUUCCAGGUGCACACUUCAGUAGAGCAACAUUAAGGGAGAAGCUUUUUCUUUCUCACUUGGUUUUCAAUUUCUUUAAUUUUUCCAAAUAGUUUAAUUAGUUCAGGUGAUUUAAUUAACAAUUACACUGUUUGGGUUUGCUCUGAAAAGGUUUGACUGAAUCAAGCCUUGCCCUUCCUUUUGCAUUAAACUAACAAUAUAAGAGUGUCUGAGCAGCAGGUUCAUGGAAAAUGGAGCCUGGAAUCAGAGUUUGAUCACCAGAGCUGCUGCUUUGGCUCCCUUCACAUUGCAAGGGAGAAGGCAACAUGUAGUUGAAAAAAAAAAAGAGGAUUUUCAGGUACAGGCAAGGAAU